GCCCAGGGCGGCAGCCGGGACUGCUGGUCGGGGCGCAGUCUCUCAGACACAUCGUGACCGAAGGACCGAAGGACGUGCUGGACAUGCCGCUCCCUGACUUGCCAAGUGCUUCCCAGCCUCGGCCCAUUCACAGAGCUCUUCCCCGACCGAGGCCCGGGAGCGUUCCACUCUGUCCUGGAGCCUGGGGUGGAGGGACAGGCUCCCCGCCUACUCUCACUGGAUCACGUGGAGUCAUGUCCACUGGUCCUGUUCAUGCUGGCAAAGGCGGGCAGAUUGCUCACCGGCCCCCAGCCGCCUACUCCCCUGGAUCUAUCAGGGCACAUCUCAGAGCCUGCUAAGUGGAUACAAUCCUGCGUUCUUGGCCCAGGACUUCACCCCGAAAGUGAGCUGAUGACUGAGAGUGGGCUUGUAAUCGUUUUAAACACCAACUAUCUGGAAUCCGAGUGGCACUCUCUGGUCUAGAACCAUCGGUCAGUCAGGAGAAGGGAGGACAGCUCAUCUGAGAUGGUGAAUGUGUUACAUGACUUCCCACAAACAAAAAAAGUCAAAUUGUGCUAGGCCAGAAAAUGGCCCCCAAGUAUAUCAUCCUAAUCCCCAGAAACCUGUGAAUGUUACCUUAUUAAAAAAGAAGAAGAAGAAGAAGAAGAAGGAGAAGGAGAAGAAAUGCAGGGCAUUGGCUGGCUCAGUUGGUGGAGUGUGUGACUCUUGAUCUCAGGGUUGAGGAGUCUGAGCCCCAUGUUGGGUGUAGAGAUUACUUAAAAAUGAAACCUUUUAAAAAAUAAAAAUAAAUAAAAUUUUUUGAAUAUUU